UGCUUAAGACAAAGCCAAAACAAAGAAAAGGGACUGAAAGAAACUCAGUUUGUACACCGGCUGUCCAACUACCACGCUCCACUCGCCCCACCAUACUUGCGCAUGCGCACAGAGAGAGAGAGAAAAGUGAGGGAAAGAGUGCAAAAGGAAGAUUGGGGGCUCUGGCGAGGGAGAGAGAAAGAGAGAGGGGGGUUUAAAACGUCAGCGCGUGUAGGAGCCCUGCUGCCAGUCUGCAUGUACUGAUAUGUGCGACGUUCGAGGAGUUUGCGCUCCGGUCAGGCUCGCGCACUGGGAUCCUAACUGUCACCAGCACAUAAAAGCGCGGAUAACGGUGAUGAUUCCCCUCACACAGCAACACGACAAGGAGCUAAGUGUACGCAGAUGGCAGCGAAGAAGUGUGCUGUCAGUUUCCAGACACCUUUGGAUGUGACGGGCUCCAAGCAGUGGAGCUUACCGUGACAGACAGCAGGUGGGAUUCCACUAAGAGGAGAGCUCGCGCUUGACUUUAUGUUGGACAUGGGAACGGGUCUCGACUGUUUUGGAUACGGUACCGGAGGAACCGAAUCUUCUUGAACGGAGAGCUGUCGACAGAUCAGGACAUCGACGAGAUGCGCUCCGACCACGGCUUCAUCCUGCUGCUCCUCAACGGGACAGCGUGCUUGCUGGCUCUAGGACAGGAAGAUACCCACUCAUUAUCUUCUUCCUUCCCCUCGUCUACGUCUAAGUCCUCCUCCUCAGCAGACUCCUCAAAAACUCUGGGGGUUCUGGGAUCUCAGGGUUCGAUUUCACCCCUGAGUCGCUGGGUAAUGCACAGCCGUGGCCGUGCUGCCAACACUUCCACAAUGGAGCUGCCCUAUCGAUCGCCAGUGCCCUUCUCCAAACAGGAAUUUUGGGAAAUGCUGGGCAGUGAUCUCCUCAAAUCAGACACGGAUGCAUCAGGGAACUCACGUGUCAAGCGCCGUCCACCAAUCGUCAAAACAGGCAAAUUUAAGAAGAUGUUCGGCUGGGGUGACUUCUACUCCAACAUCAAGACGGUGCGCCUCAACCUGCUUAUCACGGGUAAGAUAGUGGAUCACGGGAAUGGCACCUUCAGCGUCUACUUCCGUCACAAUUCCACCGGUCAGGGGAACAUCUCAGUGAGCUUGGUACCUCCAGUGAAGGCAGUGGAGUUCGACUUGGAGCGCCAAAGCGUGGUCUAUCCUAAAGACUCGAAGAUCUUCAACUGCCGCGUAGACUACGAGAAGGUGGACCGUAGCAAACGCACCUCACUCUGCAACUAUGACCCCUCCAAGACCUGCUUCCAGGAGCAGACACAAAGCCAUGUGUCCUGGAUCUGUUCCAAACCCUUUAAGGUCAUUUGUAUCUACAUUUCAUUCUACAGCACAGACUACCGACUGGUGCAGAAGGUCUGCCCAGACUAUAAUUACCACAACGAGUUGCCCUACCUACCCUCAGGCUAGAGCUUUGUGAAGCAAUGGACUGGGGCAAGGAGGACUGGUUGGGUAGGAAUUGGUAUACAAAGGAACAGUUAUAUUAUGGAUGUGAAGAUGAAUGUGCAAUGCUGAUUUGGGAGGGCUUUUUUAAAGGACACUGAAGUCCUUAUCUAAAGACUCUUCAGAAACUUAUCAUUGAGCUGAUAUGGAACACCCCCUCAUGACCUGAACAUCAAAGGUGGUUCUCUAAAAGGUAAUGGUAGCACUUUGAAUGCUACUUACCCACAAAGCUGGCUGCAAAUCUGUUUAUACAAAUACACAACGCAGUCCCCUACAGGAACAGAUACCAUUAUAUCCUGGGAAAAUAUCUCCAAAACAACUCAGAAUCUCCCUCUGACUGCAGAAGAGGGAUAAGGAGACUACACUGUCACGCACUGCUGGGCGUUGCCAAGGCAAGGAUAAAAGUUGAAGUGGAAGAACUCUUCAGUUGUCAUAGCGACAGGCUCUUUGGCUGGCCUGUCGGGCUUGGAUGGAGCAUCGGACACCUGGUCAAUCCGUAGAACCAGAACUGAGCUAGCGGCCUCUAUAAGCAACAAAUUGUACAAUGAAAUGUGGUACAACAUGUACUGAACAGACAUAUACUGCACAUAAAUAUAUAAAUAAAUGAAUAUUUAUAAAUAUAUAUAUAUAUGAAAAUAUAUAUAUGAACACAGAUAUAUACAAUAAUCCAACUCCCUGGAACUGGAUGAAGCUGUAUUACAUGUCAGACAUACAGUGGACUUUUCUCUGGUUCAUUUGAGGUUUACUGUUUAUUUCUAUAUUUUUACAUUGUUUAUUUUACGUGUGUGUUAUGUUGAUAUAGUGUAUGGAUGACAAUGGUGGCAUUUAUUGUGGUUUUCUGACAUCUGACAAAAAAAAUAAAAGAAUAAAUUAGAGGAAAAGCACUGAGUUUGGCUCCCGAGCUCAGAGGGCUAAAGUGACUGUCGUCUCAGGUCUCGUCUUGUUUUGACUGCUGAUUGACAGAGGGGAUGACAUGUGCAUGACAUGAAAGUCCAUGUUAUUGCUCUAUUUGCAUAUGUGUAUUCAGUGCCUAUGGCAAGAAGCGGGGAAAACAGGAGGCAAUAGUCCACAGGGACACGGAGAAAGAGAUGGAAUGAGAGAGAGAGAUGACAGAAUUACUGAAACAGUGGAACUAUACAAUAAAUUGCACUUGAACAGUGUCACCGUGAACCCAAAACAUCUACUGCUACAAAGUUUCUUUUAAUUUCUUUUCGUUCUUAGACAUAAUUCGCAUCAAAUAUGUCCAGGAUCACAAUUAAACCUGACAUUCCAGAGCAUGAAAAUUAGCUUGAAUAAUAUUGUUGUAAGGCAGAUUGAUUACAUCGUUGUAUUUAACAGCAACUUCAGCUACCCCCUCUGUUCUUUUUGUCUUUAUAUAUAUAGUUUUAUGUCCCUAAACACCCUCCACUCUCUCGUUUUUCUCAUUCUUUUCUCUCAUCUCCCAAUCCGGCCUCUUCCACAGCGUGCCUAAGGAUAACCUUGGAGAGAGUGAUGAAACCGCUCUAAAUUGGGCUGUGUGCUCCCGCUCAACCCAAAGUUAAUAACAUAAUUCAAAACAAACCAGCAGUGACUUCCCACAGCACAUCACACAGCAAGCAAGAACAGAACAGAUAGAAAAAAAGCAUGAAGAAAGACGGAUAAAAAAAGUGAAAGAUAAGUGGAGAUAAACAAGUUUAAGUGGUAAGGAGUAAAACAAAUACAGGAGGUGAACAAAGAAAGACAGUGGGCUAUUGAACAUAAUUUAAAUAUUUCAUCAGUAAAUAAUCAAUAAAUAACAGAAUAUCAGACUGCUACUUUGGGUUAUUGCCUUUGCAUAAGCCAGCAGUUUUAGGACAAGGCCUACGAUCAUUAAAUUAAUCUGCAUUCAAUCUGAUGAUAAGAGAGCAACUGUAUGAAUGAGCAGCCUUCAGAAACUGAAUUUGAUGUAAUACAAUUUUGUUUCUGGUCACUUCCAAUUCUUUACAGACAUCAUUCAUAAACAUUUAUUGAAGAAACUUAAUCAAUAAGCUGUUAUUAAAAUACAAU